GUGGCGGUGCAGUCCCACCGGGCGUCCGCGUCCAGCAGGGCGUCCUCGCCGAACCGGUCGCCGUCGGCGAGUACGGCGACGGCGGUCUCGUUUCCGUACUUGCCGACCGUGGUCUGGCUGACGCGGCCGUGAGCGAUCAUGUGGAACUGCUCGGCGGGCGUGCCGCGUUCGACCAGGGUCUCACCGGCGCGGAAGUCGCGCUGGACGCAGCGGUCGGCGAUCGCGGUCAGCACCUCCACGUCCUCGAAGCCACGCAGCAGGGCCAGUUCGCCGAGCUCGCGGGGAAUCACCCGGACGGUGCCACCGUCCUGGACGAACUCCACGCGCCCGUCGCCGACGGUGUAGGUCAGCCGACGGUUCACCCGGUAGGUGCCGCCCUUGACCUCGACCCAGGGGAGUGUCCGCAGCAGCCAGCGGGAGGUGAUCCCCUGCAUCUGCGGCGCGGACUUGGUCGUGGUGGCGAGGUUGCGGGCAGCCGCCGUGCCCAGGCUGGACUGCCGAGGCGG
rfam:Streptomyces hygroscopicus ATCC 53653 genomic scaffold supercont1.1, whole genome shotgun sequence.